rnacentral:rRNA from 1 species
GACGAACGCUGGCGGCGUGCCUAAUACAUGCAAGUCGAGCGGACUGAUUAAGAGCUUGCUCUUAUGACGUUAGCGGCGGACGGGUGAGUAACACGUGGGCAACCUGCCCUGUAGAUCGGGAUAACACCGAGAAAUCGGUGCUAAUACCGGGUAAUAUCUGAGAUCACAUGAUCUUAGGUUAAAAGAUGGCUCCGGCUAUCACUACAGGAUGGGCCCGCGGCGCAUUAGCUAGUUGGUAAGGUAAUGGCUUACCAAGGCGACGAUGCGUAGCCGACCUGAGAGGGUGAUCGGCCACACUGGGACUGAGACACGGCCCAGACUCCUACGGGAGGCAGCAGUAGGGAAUCUGCCGCAAUGGACGAAAGUCUGACGGAGCAACGCCGCGUGAGUGAUGAAGGGUUUCGGCUCGUAAAGCUCUGUUGUUAGGGAAGAAACAGUACCGAACGAACUAGGUCGGUACCUUGACGGUACCUAACCAGAAAGCCACGGCUAACUACGUG